CCCCACUAUCGACCACCACCUCCGGCACCGACGCAACCUCCGCGUGUACGAUACUCGAUAACAACGACGAUUCCGUCCACCUCGUCGUUUCCACGCGCGUGUUUCCCGAUAACUACUGGACUUUAAGUAUUGAUAUAGAGGAAGUUACCUCGUUGACCGCGGCGGUGCUUGUAGAAGCCGAUAUAACGAGCCGAACGAUGUUCCUGUCGCAACACGCUGUCACCUGAGAGACUGUAUAAAAACAGUAAUCCUUAAGAACGUCUAUAUAAGUUUGAUUACAGAUGUUCGCUUUCAGGUUUCAUUGUUGAAUAAAAGAUUUCGAAUAAAGGGUUGCUUUAUGAUCUUGGUAUUCAAUUAUGGAAUGCUUAAUUACAUAUUCUAUGAGAACUUACAUCAAAUAUGCACAUAUCACAUGUCUUAAGCAUUCGAUGGUUUAACAAAUAAUAUUCUAACAGAUAGAGAAUAAGAACAACAUAAAUUAAUGUUUCUUUUUAGAGAAGAAGUAUUCAGCUGGGGGGACGUUUAACAUGUAAAAAUGUCGCGGUAUUAUAAAAGAUCUGAAUUGAAUGCUUGCUUAAAUCCGACAUUAAGAUAGAUAAUAGCGGAUAAUAUCAAGGCCAUAGCAUAGAUUUUUCAUAACGCAAUCGACAUGGGUGAACGAGCGUAUUCAGCCACGUGGUGAACAUUUGAGUAAGGAUUCGUGAAUACUGUAUGUAGUGGAUAAUACAUCUGAUCACGAAUAUCAGAGAAGGAAAAAAUUGAAAGUUUUAAGAUGUCAUAAAACAUGUUUGCCGGAAAACACGUAAAAUAUUUAUGUUUGAUAACAUAAAACAAACUCUGAAUUAUAUAAUAGAGAUAUAUUACCCAUUUUGCGAACAAAACAAUUAAUAUCUCUACGUAAUAAAAGAUUACAAGUGGCUCAUUAGGUAAUUACGUGCACUUGGACGCUUAGUACACCUUUCUAAUCUCGUUGACUGCCUUUUGAUGGUAAGAGAUCGCGGUCGACGGUUGUUAUAUACGAAGGUAAGGUGAUCGUUAAGAUGUGGAAAACGCGUCCAUCGGAGUAGAAAUAAUGACAAUUUUCUCCGUGACAUAAUCGAGAAGCCAGUAAUUUUGAAAGCGACACUUCCUCACAACGAAAAUCACAUUGCGACAGUUACAAAAAUGAAACAAUACUUUAAUGAUAUUUUAUAAAUAAUAAUAGAUCGUACCUCUCUUAAAAUAUCUCAUAUAAUGACAACUCCGCUCUUCUUUAUAUAUCAUAUUUAUUUUAUAUUUAUAUAUAAAAUAAAAUAUCUCUAGUAAUAUAAUAUAAACAAUUUUUAUUAUUAUUAAAAUAUGAAAAAUCAUAGCAUCAAAUAAAAAAGGAUUUGAAAAGGAUAUUGAAUUUCGAAUAACGAACUGACGUGACAUAAAUUGAAAUGCAUAUGCCUUUCUUUUAAAAAAAAAGAACAAUAAGAUAAUUUGAAAAAAUCAAUAUUUAAACGGAAAUAAGAAUUGACUUAAUAAGUCAUUUACAAACAAGUAUGCAUAUCCUUAUCUCGUGAUCGGUAGGUAGUUCCGUUUCAUGGAAUCAAUAUUUUUCUUACAAAUCCUGAUAAUUUGCUCUAACGAGCUGAUUUUAUCACACAAUCGACUUAAGCAUUCCUACAUGGUUGUCCAGAAAUUUAAAAAAAGUCUAUAAAGUAAACGCUACAUAUUUAUGUCCGUAACCUCAAACAAAUAUUUUAUUCACUUUUAUUAUCUGAACAUUAUUUGUUAGGUAUAAUAUUGAAUUCGUGUAAUUUCGCAAACGCAAA